UCUCCCCAUUAGAAGGGAGGAAUAUCAAUAAACUAAACCAAGCGCAUCUUUCUCCAUUAUACCUUUAAUUCUGCGCUUCUCUCUCUCCACAUUCUCUCAUGUCUCUCUCCUCUAGACCCUAGAGUCCAGCCUCUUUAUGAUCAAGGGAGAAGGUGAAUAUACCAUCAUUGAAAUCUUUCAUGACCAUAGAAGGAGUAGGAGUAGAUACAACCAUCGUCCAAUGGGGAUUGAGGAGACACACAUGAAACAAUCAGGCCAACAGGGAAGCCUCUUGGCACCUUCAAUUCGGGAACGUUUGCUGUGAAUUCCCCUUAUUUCAUAGCAAAAAAUAUCACUUUUCAAAACGCAACACCUCUUCCACCACCAGGGGCUGUCCUUUAUAUUUAGGGCAUAAAAAGAAGCAUUGGUCCCUAGACUUACUUCAACUGUUAUCCAUACAGGUUAAGAUUCUCUUCUCGCUUUACCCUUCUACUGAUUCCAUAACUGCUCAUUACUUGGAAUUUGAACAACCGCCAG